rnacentral:tRNA from 1 species
GCCCGGGUGGAGGAACGGUAGACUCGCGACACUUAAAAUGUCGUGGCCACAACAGGUCGUGCCAGUUCGAAUCUGGCCCCGGGCACCA